rnacentral:sRNA from 25 species
GUCAGUAACCCAGCCCUAAAGGGACUGGGCUUGUAAGAGAAAUCAAGCAAGCCGUACUGACCAGACCACCCUAAGCCUAGUCUAAGGGUAGCCGUUAUUUGAGUCACGACACCUCGGAAUGCGUAGCUAGUUCCCCGCUCUGUC